UACAUGGGGUGCAAACGUUGCUCGGAAUCAUUGGGCGUAAAGCGCGCGUAGGCGGUUACUUAAGUUGGAUGUGAAAGCCCCCGGCUCAACUGGGGAGGGUCAUUCGAUACUGAUCGACUGGAAGGCAGGAGAGGGAAGCGGAAUUCCCGGUGUAGUGGUGAAAUGCGUAGAUAUCGGGAGGAACACCAGUGGCGAAGGCGGCUUCCUGGCCUGUUCUUGACGCUGAGGCGCGAAAGCUAGGGGAGCAAACGGG
rnacentral:rRNA from 1 species